rnacentral:rRNA from 1 species
AUUGAACGCUGGCGGCAGGCCUAACACAUGCAAGUCGAGCGAGCGGCGGACGGGUGAGUAAUGUAUGGGGCCUGCCCGCUAGAGGGGGAUCACUACUGGAAACGGUGGCUAAUUCCGCAUACUAUCGGAUAACCCAUAUGGGAUUAGCUAGUCGGUGGGGUAAAGGCUCACCUAGGCGACGAUCUCUAGCUGGUCUGAGAGGAUGAUCAGCCGCACUGGGACUGAGACACGGCCAAGACUCCUACGGAGGAAGCAGUGGGGAAUAUUGCACAAUGGGCGAAAGCCCGAUGCAGCCAUGCCGGGUGUAUGAAGAAGGGCUUAGGGUUGUAAAGUACGUUCAGCGGGGAGACGUUACCCGCAGAAGAAGCAACGGCUAACUCCGUGCCAGCAGCCGCGGUAAUUC